GGCUCUGUCCUCCUGGACAUGCCGAUGACACACGCCGGGGACCUUCUCUCGAAGGCGGCCACCUCGCCUGGUCCCCGAGUGUC
rnacentral:sRNA from 1 species